UACGUAGGGGGCAAGCGUUGUCCGGAUUUAUUGGGCGUAAAGAGCGUGUAGGCGGCCUUACAGGUCAGCUGUGAAAACUCGAGGCUCAACCUCGAGACGUCGGUUGAAACCGUAUGGCUAGAGUCCGGAAGAGGAGAGUGGAAUUCCCGGUGUAGCGGUGAAAUGCGCAGAUAUCAGGAGGAACACCGGUGGCGAAGGCGGGUCUCUGGGCCGUAACUGACGCUGAGGAGCGAAAGCAUGGGGAGCGAACAGG
rnacentral:rRNA from 1 species